GCCGGAGGGUGCAAUCGUUGCUCGGACUCACUGGGCGUAAAGAGCACGUAGGCGGCUUUGUAAGUCUGAUGUGAAAGCCCACGACUCAAUCGUGGAAGUGCAUUGGAUACUGCAUAGCUAGAGUGCAGGAGGGGUAAGCGGAAUUCCAGGUGUAGAGGUGAAAUUCGUAGAUAUCUGGAGGAACAACGGUGGCGAAGGCGGCUUACUGGACUGUUACUGACGCUGAGGUGCGAAAGUGUGGGGAGAGAACAGG
rnacentral:rRNA from 1 species